AGAUGGCGACCGGCGCACGGGUGAGUAACACGUAUCCAACCUGCCGAUAACUCGGGGAUAGCCUUUCGAAAGAAAGAUUAAUACCCGAUGGUAUAAUCAGACCGCAUGGUCUUGUUAUUAAAGAAUUUCGGUUAUCGAUGGGGAUGCGUUCCAUUAGGCAGUUGGUGAGGUAACGGCUCACCAAACCUUCGAUGGAUAGGGGUUCUGGGAGGAAGGUCCCCCACAUUGGAACUGAGACACGGUCCAA
rnacentral:rRNA from 1 species